AGGUUCAACCGCUUCUGCCGGUUACCUGAAUUCGUCGGGUAAAAGUUCAAGUUAUUUAGUACAUACAAAACGCUCGUACUAAAUUUACAAUUUCAAGAAAUAUCUGUGCAUAAAACCUUUCAGCAGAGCAAAAUGCUUUUCGAAAGCAAAACUGGAACAUAAUAAGAAUUUUUGUUGCGUGCUGUGGCAGGCAUUUAAGAUGUAUGCUUAUACAUAACAUUAAAGUACUACUACAUAAAUAACCAGAAUUAUUUUAAGAGAAACAAUUUAAGAAAUACAGACCAACCUAAUCCAACCCCAUGAAAGAAAGAUUUACGAUUUACAUAAACUGCACUACGUACAUUACAUAGAGCAAUCCAAAAGAAUAAAACGUAUAAACGCACUUCAUUAAGGAUGAAUUUCGAUAUUCAUAAUUUCAAUAUAUGAACCUGAAUAUUUAUAUACUAAUAACUAAAAUAAUCCAUAUUCUGGUAUGUACUCAUUCAUAUGUAGUGUACAACAAUAAUGUAGAUCACUUAUUAGAUGAUGAUACUUAAUAUCGGAUAAUUAGUAGCACAUACACAUAGCAGCGUGUUUACAUUUUGGCAUAAAACGUAAAAGAUAAUGAAACAUCAAACAAUACGAUGCAAAGAAAACACAAAAAUAAUUUGAAGAUUUCCAGCGCAACACGGAUCAAAAAUUCAGGCUGCAAUAGGAAACUCACCAACAUUCAAUUACAGACUUUGAUUAAAAAUAAAACUUUAUAUAAAUUAUCAGCACAGCUGGAAGAGCGCUUUAAAACUAGCAUGCAAUUCUAAAUUAAUGGCAAUUGCAAUUGCUGUUUGUUUGUUAUACUUUCUUUUGCAGAAAGAAAAAUGAAGGAUUUUGUUUUAUUUAAUUUUGCUUUGUUUUUUACUUUUUACGUAGAACAUGAAAGGUGAACCAUUUCUAUAACAUCCAUGACGAACGAAAAUUAAGUAAAAAAAGAUAUUUUGACGCUUAAUUUCAAGAACAGCUGAGUGUGUAUUUUCCCUUUGGAUUAAAACUUGCAAUAACAAAAACAAAAAACAUUGCUCUUAGACGUUGCAAAAUUAAACAAAAACAAAAUAUUUCAAACAAGUAAAAGAUAAAACCAUUUUAUACUAUAACGAUCAUUAAAUAUGUGUGUUACAAUUUAUAUUGUAUUUAAUAGUAAUAUGUAUGUAUACAUUUAUAAUACCUUUAAUUAAAAUCUGAAUUACAAAUAAAGUAUACUAUGCAGUACAUUUCUAUGGUA